rnacentral:rRNA from 1 species
UGGGGAAUAUUGCACAAUGGGGGAAACCCUGAUGCAGCGACGCCGCGUGAGCGAAGAAGUAUUUCGGUAUGUAAAGCUCUAUCAGCAGGGAAGAAAAUGACGGUACCUGACUAAGAAGCCCCGGCUAACUACGUGCCAGCAGCCGCGGUAAUACGUAGGGGCGAAGCGUUAUCCGGAUUUACUGGGUGUAAAGGGAGCGCAGGCGGUCUUGCAAGUCUGAUGUGAAAGCCCGCGGCUCAACUGCGGGACUGCAUUGGAAACUGUGGGACUUGAGUGUCGGAGGGGCAAGUGGAAUUCCUAGUGUAGCGGUGAAAUGCGUAGAUAUUAGGAGGAACACCAGUGGCGAAGGCGGCUUGCUGGACGACAACUGACGCUGAGGCUCGAAAGCGUGGGGAGCAAACAGGAUUAGAUACC